rnacentral:lncRNA from 1 species
AUUUAUUCCUUCAGGCAUAUAUGGUUGGGAAGAGGAUGGUUUGAUGGGAAGAAUGGCCAGUGCUUGUUCCCAGGGGCAGGAAGGGCAUUUUGGAGGACAUGCUACACAUCAGCGCUUUUGUGGAAGGGGUCACCCAGCAUCUCUAAAGCCAAGUUCAUGGUCUGAAAUUCUGCUCUCUGGAGGAUAUUUACAUGUGCACUUCCCACAGAUCAACCACACUUUUCCAGAGGCAUCGCUGUUGGAAUAAAGCCCCUAAGGAAGACUCCGUGCCAAGCAGCAAAAUGGCAGUCUUGCUUUGCAGUGCCAACACAGAUGUCACUCACCACUGGCAGCUCACACUGAGCUGCUGCAGCCUGAGGAGCCCACUCUUCAGACACAGAAGGCAGCUCUGAAUCCAUCCAACUAUUUAUUGGAAUAAAGCUUUGAAUGUAAUAAAGCUUCCUUUCUUG